CCUCGGGUGGCAGCAGUAGGGAAUUUUGCGCAAUGGGGGAAACCCUGACGCAGCAACGCCGCGUGAUCGAUGAAGCCCUUCGGAUUGUAAACCCCUGUCAUGUGGGAGCAAAUUAAAAAGAUAGUACCACAAGAGGAAGAGACGGCUAACUCUGUGCCAGCAGCCGCGGUAAUACAGAGGUCUCAAGCGUUGUUCGGAAUCACUGGGCGUAAAGCGUGCGUAGGCUGUUUCGUAAGUCGUGUGUGAAAGGCGCGGGCUCAACCCGCGGACGGCACAUGAUACUGCGAGACUAGAGUAAUGGAGGGGGAACCGGAAUUCUCGGUGUAGCAGUGAAAUGCGUAGAUAUCGAGAGGAACACUCGUGGCGAAGGCGGGUUCCUGGACAUUAACUGACGCUGAGGCACGAAGGCCAGGGGAGCGAAAGGGAUUAGAUACCCCAGUAGUC
rnacentral:rRNA from 1 species